rnacentral:rRNA from 2 species
AAGCCAGUGGUGAACUCCACAUCCGCAUCCUUUGCUGAGGAUACGGUUAACGGAGCGAAAGCGACGUUCAACCGCAAAACAAGCAGAGGGGGCUUAGUGGUGGGGUGACUGCGUACCUUUUGUAUAAUGGGUCAGCGACUUAUAUUCUGUAGCAAGGUUAACCGAAUAGGGGAGCCGGAGGGAAACCGAGUCUUAAUUGGGCGUUAAGUUGCAGGGUAUAGACCCGAAACCCGGUGAUCUAGCCAUGGGCAGGUUGAAGGUUGGGUAACACUAACUGGAGGACCGAACCGACUAAUGUUGAAAAAUUAGCGGAUGACCUGUGGCUGGGGGUGAAAGGCCAAUCAAACCGGGAGAUAGCUGGUUCUCCCCGAAAGCUAUUUAGGUAGCGCCUCGUGAAUUCAUCUCCGGGGGUAGAGCACUGUUUCGGCUAGGGGGCCAUCCCGGCUUACCAACCCGAUGCAAACUGCGAAUACCGGAGAAUGUUAUCACGGGAGACACACGGCGGGUGCUAACGUCCGUCGUGAAGAGGGAAACAACCCAGACCGCCAGCUAAGGUCCCAAAGUCAUGGUUAAGUGGGAAACGAUGUGGGAAGGCCCAGACAGCCAGGAUGUUGGCUUAGAAGCAGCCAUCAUUUAAAGAAAGCGUAAUAGCUCACUGGUCGAGUCGGCCUGCGCGGAAGAUGUAACGGGGCUAAACCAUGCACCGAAGCUGCGGCAGCGAACGUAUCACCCAAGACAACUUUACGGAGUUGACGAUUGACGGAGCGAAGCGACGUCAAAGCGUUCAUUAAAGUCGAGUUGGCUUAGGGAUACGUUCGUUGGGUAGGGGAGCGUUCUGUAAGCCUGUGAAGGUGUGUCGUGAGGC